rnacentral:tRNA from 1 species
GGGUCGUUAACUCAGCCGGUAGAGUACCUCCCUUUUAAGGAGGGGGCCGAAGGUUCGAAUCCUUCACGACCCACCA